UAGGGAAUCUUCCGCAAUGGACGCAAGUCUGACGGAGCAACGCCGCGUGAGUGAAGAAGGAUUUCGGUUCGUAAAACUCUGUGGUUAGAGAAGAACAGCGCAUAGAGUAACUGUUAUGCGUGUGACGGUAUCUAACCAGAAAGCCACGGCUAACUACGUGCCAGCAGCCGCGGUAAUACGUAGGUGGCAAGCGCUGUCCGGAUUUAUUGGGCGUAAAGCGAGCGCAGGCGGUCAAUUAAGUCUGAUGUGAAAGCCCCCGGCUCAACCGGGGAGGGUCAUUGGAAACUGGUUGACUUGAGUGCAGAAGAGGAGAGUGGAAUUCCAUGUGUAGCGGUGAAAUGCGUAGAUAUAUGGAGGAACACCAGUGGCGAAGGCGACUCUCUGGUCUGUAACUGACGCUGAGGCUCGAAAGCGUGGGUAGCAAACAGG
rnacentral:rRNA from 1 species